GAUGAACGCUAGCUACAGGCUUAACACAUGCAAGUCGAGGGGUAACGAGAGGAAAGCUUGCUUUCCUUGUCGACGACCGGCGCACGGGUGAGUAACGCGUAUCAACCUGCCCCCAACUAGGGAAUAACCUUGCGAAAGUAAGACUAAUACCCUAUAAUUUCCUCAGAUGUCAUCUGACGAGGAAUAAAGAUUUAUUGGUUGUGGAUGGGGAUGCGUCUGAUUAGCUUGUUGGCGGGGUAACGGCCCACCAAGGCAACGAUCAGUAGGGGUUCUGAGAGGAAGGUCCCCCACAUUGGAACUGAGACACGGUCCAAACUCCUACGGGAGGCAGCAGUGAGGAAUAUUGGUCAAUGGGCGGAAGCCUGAACCAGCCAAGUAGCGUGCAGGAUGACGGCCCUAUGGGUUGUAAACUGCUUUUAUACAGGAAUAAAGUUAGCCACGUGUGGUUAUUUGUAGGUACUGUAUGAAUAAGGACCGGCUAAUUCCGUGCCAGCCGCCGCAGUAA
rnacentral:rRNA from 1 species